AAGAAGUUUAUAGUUACUGCCUUUCAAUAAAUUAAUAUUCGUACUCCCAUACAACAAUUAAUGUUGAGUUUCAAUUCAAGCUUUCCGUAUCCCAUAUAUGCAUUUCACCCAAAGAAUAUUCGAGAAAAGAACCUGUUUUAUAUGCAUGAUUUUUGUUUUUCUCACAAAUCAAGAACUGUUUCUAAUAGAUCCUCUAAGGAAAGGUUCAUAACCUGCAUUAGAUUACCAAUAUAACACACUCCACUGUAUAUCUACAAUAUAAAUAUUCUAAGCAAAUCUUUGAUGGUUUUAUUUCAAGAAAAAUCUUUAUCAACCCAAGAAGAU
rnacentral:lncRNA from 1 species